GAACUUGGUCCCCAAGCCUGUGUCCCCCAGGGACCUUCACUCCUCAGGAUGUGUCAGGUCUCCAGGAAGACAACGACUGCUCCAUCUGUCCCCCUGGCCACUACUGCAGACGUGGACAGGUGUGGGGAAGAUGUCCUGCUGGUUACUUCUGUUCAGCUGGAACCUCUGAAAUAACGUUAGACCCCAGCAAACCUCAGGCCUCGUGUACCCAGAAACAGCUAUGUGCACAGCAGUGUCCACCAGGUAACAGACCCUGCCUCUGGCCUGCAGGUAUGAGAUGUUCAGGACCCACCGAGUUGUCUAUAUAACAUGCACGUGCAUAGAAUAUGAAAAUGUGUCCCGGGCAGUGCACAUGGCACCUGGUAUGACUACCACACUGGUGGAGGUAACAGGAUGUAUUUCCAUACCUUCCAUAUUGACCAGCAUGACCACUCGGGCCCUCUGGACUCAUUCUAUCUUGGCUCCCACUGUCUAUCAGACACAGUGAAAACUCUGUACUUUAGGAUUUUACUGCCCUGAGGGCAGUGGAGAACCCAUCCCAUGUCCCCCUCACACCCUGGCGGCUACCGCUGGAGCCCAGAAAAAAGAAGACUGUGGGCCCUGCCCCCCAGGACAGUGGUGCAAAGCAGAAACCCAAGCCAGGAAACCCUGCCCUGCUGGUCACUACUGCCCGGGAAUGAGUGAAUCCCACCCAGGAGCCCCUCAGGCAUGCCCUGAACAUACCUAUCUGGCCACAGAAGGAGGCCAGAGCCCAGCUGAGUGCCUCCCCUGCCCCACUGGGUACCACUGCCCAUGGCCAGGCCUCUCUUCUUUUGAAGACCACCCAUGCCCCCCUGGCCACUGGUGUCCAGGUGCACAGGGUGCUUUUCUCUGCCCACCUGGUACCUUCCGUUCAGAGCCAGGGGCGUCAUCACCACAAGACUGUGAGCUCUGUCCCUCUGGCUACUACUGCCCUGACACACAGGUGACCGGUCGAGCCAAUGUGUUUGCCAUCCCCUGCCAGC